UCACGAAAGUGAGCUGUACUAGAAGUCGCUGCGCUAACCGCAAGGAGGCAAGCGCCCAAGGUAUGACUCAUGAUUGGGGUG
rnacentral:rRNA from 1 species